ACUCAAAUGAAUUGACGGGGACCUGCACAAGUGGUGGAGCAUGCGGUUUAAUUCGAUGGUAAGCGAGGAACCUUACCUAGGCUUGACAUGUACCUGCAUAUACCAGAAAUGGUAUAGCCUUCGAGGGUGGUACACAGGUGCUGCACGGUUGUCGUCAGCUCGUGCCGUGAGGUGUUCACUUAAGUGUGAAAACGAGCGCAACCCCUAUCAUAAGUUACAAGUGUCUUAUGAAACUGCCGGCGUAUAAGCCGGAGGAAGGCGGGGAUGACGUCAAAUCAGCGUGGCUCUUACGCCUAGGGCGACACGCGUGCUACAAUGGGUGGUCACAAAGGGACGCCAAAGAGUAAUCUGGAGCAAAUCCUUUAAACCCACCCCCAGUUCGGAUUGAGGGCUGCAACUCGCCCUCAUGAAGUCGGAAUCACUAGUAAUCGUGGAUCAGCCUCGCCACGGUGAAUACGUUCUCAGGUUUUGUACACACCGCCCGU
rnacentral:rRNA from 1 species